rnacentral:rRNA from 1 species
UCCUACGGGGGGCUGCAGUGAGGAAUAUUGGUCAAUGGGCGCAAGCCUGAACCAGCCAUCCCGCGUGCAGGAAGACGGCCCUAUGGGUUGUAAACUGCUUUUCCAGGGGGAGAAACUUUCCGAUGAAUCGGGAUUUGACGGUACCCUGGGAAUAAGCAUCGGCUAACUCCGUGCCAGCAGCCGCGGUAAUACGGAGGAUGCGAGCGUUAUCCGGAUUUAUUGGGUUUAAAGGGUGCGUAGGCGGAUCGAUAAGUCAGUGGUGAAAACCUGCAGCUUAACUGUAGACUUGCCGUUGAUACUGUUGGUCUUGAGUAUGGUCAAGGUAGGCGGAAUGUGUAAUGUAGCGGUGAAAUGCUUAGAUAUUACACAGAACACCGAUUGCGAAGGCAGCUUACUGGACCAUUACUGACGCUGAUGCACGAAAGCGUGGGGAUCGAACAGGAUUAGAUACCCGUGUAGUCG